rnacentral:lncRNA from 1 species
AUGCAAAAUUGCUCUUUUUUUAAGACUGGUGACAGAACUACUGAAGAAUCACUGGAUAAUUUUAUUAACAUCGUGGUAAUCUCAAAGUCAACAAAUACAUGGUGUCAGCACAGAGGGACUAGCAGAGUGAUCAGUGCUCACGAGUCCCCGAUUCAAAGCAGAAAACAAACAAAACAGAGUCUAAAUGUUCCUGAGAUGCAAAAAACCCCCAAAUAAAUGAAACAAAUAAAAAACAGCACAUCACCACAUGCGAUUGUGUCACAUGUUGUCCGCAUUGUGACAAUAUUAUAAGAAAUCGGUCUGAUUGAUACUUGUGUUAAUAUUACAGAAAAAAAACCAAAGGUUUGCACUUAAGCUAAACUGUACAGCAGAGAUGCAAGAAGGGCCAAAGGAAGAGAGGAGGGACAGAAACAUGUGCUAUCAUCACAGCUAUGGAGUGCCUACUGAUUAAAACAGAAUUAUAGACCACAACAAUGAAAAAGAAAUCUGAUUAUGACCCACAGAAACCAUCAUUUUCAUAAUUUGGGAGUGACAUGUUUUCUAUUUAAGUGGGCGUCUAAUUUCCUGAGCUGGUGCAAGUACAGUGCACUACAUGUUUAGUGACAUACCGCUCCGAGAUCAGUGCAGUUUAAAUAAAAAUACUGUCUCAUCAGCUCAGCUAAUAGGUUUUUUUAAAAACCAAGUUCGCUUUUUAAAAUACAUUUUCAGCAGUCUCUAGAUUAAAUGAAUGCCUUGUGAGGCAAUCUGUGUGUGUGUGUGUGUGUGAAGUAGAUGUUAGCCAGGGAAGAGGAGAGCAAAACACGGCCAGUUUUGGAGUUUUAUUUCCUGAUAUUCUGAUAUCUCAUUUCUGAUUGGCUGACAGCAACAUGACUCAACCACUUACUCUUUUUGUUCUGCAAAGUUGAAGUUUUAUCUCCACAAAUAACACAAGCCUGAAGGAGUUCUGCCAUGUUGCGGAGUUGCUAAUGCUAACAGCUAGCUUCUACUAGCUGAGAUGUGCUCUCCUCUCUCCUGGACGCUAAAUCAACAACAGCCUUCCCUGUUGCAAGCCAAGAUGGGCGAGUCCAUAAAUGCUACUUUAGCAUUGUGACGUAGAUCUAUGCAGGUUUUUUGACCCGAGCGUUUUCCCCAUCCAUUUUCUAUCAGCGGCUAUGCAGGAAAUAGGUGUAGAAGACGGUUUUCACAUUUAACCUGCAAGUGAAACUCAAGGUGACCGAUCAUAUUUAAAAAAUAAAAAGUGAAAAAUGGUUUCUCAGUGAGCUUGCUCUUUAAACAGCAAAUAGAUAAACAUUUUCGGUUCUGAUUAUUCUUUUCAAGCUGAUAUUUUAUCUAUUCAGCAAGAAAAUCCUGUCUGUUGCCCAUUACAGUGGAGCAGUACAAUUUGAAAUUUUGCCCCAAUUUCUAUGUGUCCCCGCCAACGUAAAAAUUGUUCACUAAAUUGCAGGCAAUUUUAUGCCAAAAUUGCAACCAAUAUUGCACAGCUUCGUAUGCAUAAACGCACAAAUCCAGCAGAGCCUCUUCACUCUUCAAGCAGGAAAAAUAGAGUUGGGUUUGUUAAAAAUUAGAGAAAAACAAUCCAAGGAAAAGGAGCCUAACUGGAAAUGGCACCGCAGCCAUGUUUAGUGAUAUAAUUGACUUGCUGCCAGGGUGAAAUUAGAGGCCCACGAUCUUGCAAAUACUAACCAAACUGAUAUGAAUAUGACAUAAAGAAGGGGGUGUUUUAAAGCUUGGUGUCAAGUGACAAUUACAAAGAAUGACAGCUAAGAUAAAACCAAGCCACAGCUGAAUUUUUGUAAAACGGUGCAUGUUGUUAUAAGUCAGGCUGUUGAAAAACAUAAAAGCUGUAGUUUAAAAAGCACUGCAAAAAAAAAAAUCAACUCAGUAUCGUCAAGUCAAAACACUUAUUUACAGGUGAUUUCUGGAGGCAAAAAAACCUGCACAUUUUACCAAUUACUAAGAAAUAUUCAAUGAACUGGUCAGAGUGCAUAAUUUAGUAAAUGGCACAGUUUAUUUAUUUAUUUUUUGUCAUGCCAACACCAACUCAUCACUGCAGACCUUUUCUUUCUGUCUUCUGAAUCACCACAACUCCUCAGUUCUAAGGUAGAUGCACGGGUGAGAGCUAACGGACACAGUCAGUGAAAAUUACAUCAUCAUGUAAAAUAGACAGUGGAUGAAGACAAAAGGUUUGAACUGAAAGUUUGCAGUGAGGCUCUAAUGACAUAUUUCCAUUCUAAAUGUAGAGCAGAAAUACAAUCCUGGUAAAUCUUCUGAAUUGUUCAAAUCCUUUUAUUUACACAUUUAAAUCAUGUUGGUUUAAAUGUUUAAAGCAUGUUGGUGUAGAUCCUCUCUCAGCCAGGAUCGAAUAUUUACGUUGUGUUGUUUUUGAGAACAUGUAGCUUCUCAUCCAAGAAGCUUCCAAGCUUUAAAACUGCUUAGAACUAUUUUUUAUGUGAGCUUUUAUGUGAAUUCAGUUUUGGCUCUGUUCUUUAGUCAGUUUCAAAUCAAUUCAUACCUUUAAUGUGCUUUAGUAAAACAUCUCCCAUGUUGACCAGGCCAAGAAAGGACCCUGAAAACCACUCAGAAGGGAGAGUCCUUUACAUGUGAGUCCGGCCUGCUUUAACCCUCCCACUGUCUUUAUGGGUGACCCCGCGAGGAAAGUUGACCAUUGAGCAGGAUUGAUGGUUUAUCCCUUGAGAUCCACGUGGCAGGGGUGAGGUGGUCCUCACCCCUGCCACGUGGAUCUCAAGGGAUAAACCAUCAAUCCUGCUCAAUGGUC